UACGGGGGGAGCAAGCGUUGUUCGGAUUUACUGGGCGUAAAGGGCGCGUAGGCGGCCAGCACAAGUCAGUUGUGAAAUCUCCGAGCUUAACUCGGAAAGGUCAACUGAUACUGUGCGGCUAGAGUGCGGAAGGGGCAACUGGAAUUCUUGGUGUAGCGGUGAAAUGCGUAGAUAUCGUAAGGAAGACCAGUGGCGAAGGCGGGUCUCUGGACAGUUCCUGACGCUGAGGCACGAAGGUCAGGGGAGCAA
rnacentral:rRNA from 1 species